UACGGGGGGUGCGAGCGUUGUCCGGAAUCACUGGGCGUAAAGGGCGCGUAGGUGGUCUGAUAAGGGUGGGGGGAAAGCCCGGGGCUCAACCCCGGGUCUGCCGUGCCGACUGUCAAACUCGAGGGCUGUAGAGGCAGACGGAAUUCCGGGUGUAGCGGUGGAAUGCGUAGAGAUCCGGAGGAAGACCGGUGGCGAAGGCGGUCUGCUGGGCAGUUUCUGACACUGAUGCGCGACAGCGUGGGGAGCAAACAGG
rnacentral:rRNA from 1 species